rnacentral:rRNA from 1 species
AUGAUCAUCGGUGUACGGCUGUGCAUCUGUUUUUAUUUGGCCGUGCCUGGCAGGUGGAUAAUCGUUGUCGAGGUGAGGUGGCAUAAUUUGGUAUCGGUCCUGCCUCGUUCCUUUCUUUCUUUCUGGACGAAGUUUCCCCCGCUUUGUAUUACAAAACAAUCAUCCGAUACAAGCAACGAUAGAUGCUGGGACGGAAGCAACAGAAUGAUGCCCAAAAAGAAAGAAAGAGAAAAAGGGAAAGAAACAAAUGCGGAUAACGGCGGAUCGAAAAAAACGACGAAGCCUCGCGACCGCUGCGUCCACCGGAAAUCGCCCCGAAGCUCCGAGACUCCGAAGCGCCGGUACCCAUCAACACCUCCAAGAAGGGACGCGAUGAUGACGACGCUGCUGCCAAGGGUUUCCCCCGGUACGCGGUGA